rnacentral:rRNA from 1 species
UACAGAGGUCUCAAGCGUUGUUCGGAUUCAUUGGGCGUAAAGGGUGCGUAGGCGGCGUGGUAAGUCGGAUGUGAAAUCCCGGAGCUUAACUCCGAAACUGCAUUCGAUACUGCCGUGCUUGAGGACUGGAGAGGAGACUGGAAUUUACGGUGUAGCGGUGAAAUGCGUAGAUAUCGUAAGGAAGACCAGUGGCGAAGGCGGGUCUCUGGACAGUUCCUGACGCUGAGGCACGAAAGCGUGGGUAGCAAACAGG